CUUUUUGAUAGAUUUAAUAGGGAAAGUUAUGAUAAAAACAAAACUCAGCUAGUGCGUUUAUGAAGCAUCCAUCAAACGCACGUGCGUGUUGGCAUACCUUAACAAGAACAGUGCUAGAAAGAUAAACACGGGGUUACGUCAAAAACGAAAUCAGUUGGAAAAAGUGAAAGGUAUAUCUCAAAUCUGGGAACUACUUAUUAUUUUUUUUGAAAAAGUAGCUCUGGCAAAUAGGUGAAAGUACUGGCAAAACUUUCUUACAGCACCUACAUAUCACAUAAAAAUCUAAACACUUAGCCGGUCCACGUCUAUCCCAACUAAACUGUAGGGUGAUCAUAUGGGAUCUAGAAAGGUAAUUAGUUACUGCCCAACUAGUGACACCAGCUGCAGUUUAUAUAAGUUGUGAGAAAAUAAAAAACUGGAAGAACGUUUAAAACUGAACACAAAUAAAAUGUACAAUGCUCGUCAGUGAAUAAACUAAAUAAAACAGCUAGCACAUAUUUAAGAUGGAAAAACAUCUAAGGUUGAUAUAAUGUGAUUAUAGGUUGCAUUUCUGUAAAUAUUGACAAUGCAAUUUUCCAUAGGAAUUCCUUUUACGGCUAAAACUGUACAACUUUUACUAUGAAGUUUUGAAAAAAA
rnacentral:lncRNA from 1 species